rnacentral:rRNA from 1 species
CAGCAGCCGCGGUAAUUCCAGCUCCAAUAGCGUAUAUUAAAGUUGUUGCAGUUAAAAAGCUCGUAGUCGGAUUUCGGGUCGGGCCGAGCGGUCUGCCGAUGGGUAUGCACUGUUUGGCGCGGCCUUCUUUCCGGAGACCGCGGCUACUCUUAACUGAGCGGGCGUGGGAGACGGAUCGUUUACUUUGAAAAAAUCAGAGUGUUUCUAGCAGGCAGCUCGCUCUUGCAUAGGUUAGCAUGGGAUAAUUUAAUAGGACUCUGGUGCUAUUUUGUUGGUUUCGAACACCGGAGUAAUGAUUAAAAGGGGCAGUCAGGGGCACUCGUAUUCCGUCGAGAGAGGUGAAAUUCUCAGACCAAUGGAAGACGAACCACUGCGAAAGCAUUUGCCAGGGAUGUUUUCACUGAUCAAGAACGAAAGUUAGGGGAUCGAAGACGAUCAGAUACCGUCGUAGUCUUAACCAUAAACCAUGCCGACUAGGGAUUGGAGGGUGUUCGUUUCGACCUCUUCAGCACCUUACGGGAAACUAAAGUCUUUGGGUUCCGGGGGGAGUAUGGUCGCAAGGCUGAAACUUAAAGGAAUUGACGGAAGGGCACCACCAGGAGUGGAGCCUGCGGCUUAAUUUGACUCAACACGGGGAAACUUACCAGGUCCAGACAUUGUUAGGAUUGACAGAUUGAGAGCUCUUUCUUGAUUCGAUGGGUGGUGGUGCAUGGCCGUUCUUAGUUGGUGGAGUGAUUUGUCUGGUUAAUUCCGUUAACGAACGAGACCGUAGCCUGCUAAAUAGUUCCGCGAACUUCUUGUUGGCGGUCGACUUCUUAGAGGGACAACUUGUGACCAACAAGUGGAAGUUUGCGGCAAUAACAGGUCUGUGAUGCCCAA